rnacentral:rRNA from 1 species
CAGCACCUCAAGUGGUCAGGAUGAUUAUUGGGCCUAAAGCAUCCGUAGCCUGCUUUGUCAGUUUUCGGUUAAAUCCAUACGCUCAACGUAUGGGCUGCCGGGAAUACUGCAAAGCUAGGGAGUGGGAGAGGUAGACGGUACUCGGUAGGAAGGGGUAAAAUCCUUUGAUCUAUUGAUGACCACCUGUGGCGAAGGCGGUCUACCUGAACACGUCCGACGGUGAGGGAUGAAAGCUGGGGGAGCGAACCGGAUUAGAUACCCGAGUAGUCC